CCCUGCCCGCGCGUGGAAUGGCAGCUAGCCAUGCCACGGAAGAGAGCAUCGCAGCACCACCACCUAUGCUUGGCACGGUAGGACUGCGACUCCAUCCAAGAGCGGCAGCGCGCGGCGAUGGCGUACCGGAGGAAGCAGGGCAUCCAGCGGUCGAACACCUUCGUGGAGGACCACCGCCAGCCGUCGCCGGGCGACUCCGCGUCGCCCGCCACCGCGUCCCCGCGCGCCACCCGCUUCGCCGACGACAGCCGCCGGCCCGACCGCUCCCUGGCCGCGCAGACCCUGCUCGCCUCCGCCGCGCGCGGGGACAUGCAGGCGCUCGCCGAGCGCUUCACCGCAUCCUCCUCGUCCCCGCUCGCCGCCCGGCCGAGCGACCCCGUCACGUCGUCGUCCCUGCGGGUGUCCCCGCGCGCCGCCCGGCCGGCCGACCCCGCCACGUCGUCGUCCCUGCGCGUGUCCCCGCGCGCCGCCCGGCCGGCUGACCCCAUCACGUCGACGUCCCCACGGGCGUCCCCGCGCGCCGGCCGGCAGAACGACAUGUUCUCGCAGGAUCCUGUGACCAUGCUGUACACGUCCACGUCGAGCGCCACGAACGACGACUCCAAGCUUUCACCAGUGAAGAAAGACGAGGCGAAGCAAGGGCUGUGGGGGCUUCUGGCGCAGCAAGCCAAGGCAAUGCUCGACGAAAGUGCCCCCACAGAGGACGCCCGGAGCCAGCCUCUGGUCACAUCAGCCGGCAGUCCGCAAGCUCAAUCGCGGUGGUCCUACGACCCGGUCCGGAAGUCGGAGAGCCCCACGUUCCAGAACGGAUCGGAAGGGCCCAAGUUCGACAUGGGAGGGCACAUCAAGAAUGCGCUGGAGGCAAGUCUCUUUUGCUUAACUCCGGCGUCCAAGCGGAUCGUCGGCUUGUCAGGGCAUCCUCCAGAGAUUGAUCGACGGGGACGGUUUUGCAGGAGGGCCUGCACGCGGCGACGAUGGCGGAGAGCAGGACGCCGGCGGUGGUGGGGAGGAAGCUGCAGAUCAGGAGGAAGACGUGCAGCGUGGACAUGCGGAGCGCCCACCUGAACCUGGGCACCCCGGAGCUCAUGUCGCCGAUGAUGACCGACUUCGAGUCGCCCCAGAUCAAAGCUUCUCGCGACGUAAGGUGGCGAACGUGAUGGCGGCCAAGGUGAAGCUGCUGCAGCGGGAGCUCAAGACGGUGAACGCCGACCUGGCCUUCUCCAAGGAGCGGUGCGCGCAGCUGGAGGAGGAGACCCGCCUGCAGCGGGCCGGCAACCACGACCACGCCGCCAACGAGGACCUGGUAUACAUACACGUUGUGGUUGGCCACUCCCUCCUCCUCCUUGCACCGGCCAUUCGUGCUCCUGAAAGACAUGGUUGCUUGCU